GGCUGUAGCGGCAGAGGAGGGACAUUACUGAGUUACCGCUCUAUAACCCUUUGUGAACAUACCUACAACUGUUGCUUCGGCGGGUAGGCCGUCCCCUGAAAAGGACGCCUCCCGGCCCGGACCGGACCCCCCGUGGGGCCGGACUCGGCGCCCGCCGGAGGAUAACCAAACGCUAUUUUAACGACGUUUCUUCUGAGUGGCAUAAGCAAAAUAAUCAAAACUUUUAACAACGGAUCUCUUGGUUCUGGCAUCGAUGAAGAACGCAGCGAAAUGCGAUAAGUAAUGUGAAUUGCAGAAUUCAGUGAAUCAUCGAAUCUUUGAACGCACAUUGCGCCCGCCAGCAUUCUGGCGGGCAUGCCUGUUCGAGCGUCAUUUCAACCCUCAAGCUCUGCUUGGUGUUGGGGCUCUACGGUCGACGUAGGCCCUCAAAGGUAGUGGCGGACCCUCCCGGAGCCUCCUUUGCGUAGUAACAUUUCGUCUCGCACUGGGAUCCGGAGGGACUCUUGCCGUAAAACCCCCCAAUUUUUCAAGGUUGACCUCGGAUCAGGUAGGAAUACCCGCUGAACUUAAGCAUAUCAAUAUGGUGACGAAA
rnacentral:rRNA from 1 species